GACGAACCGUGCGAACGUUGUUCGGAAUCACUGGGCUUAAAGGGCGCGUAGGCGGGCCUCCCAGUCCGGGGUGAAAGCUUUCGGCUUAACCGGAAAAGUGCCUUGGAUACUGGAGGCCUGGAGGGGGUAGGGGCAGCCGGAACUUCCGGUGGAGCGGUGAAAUGCGUUGAUAUCGGAAGGAACGCCGGUGGCGAAAGCGGGCUGCUGGACCUCUA
rnacentral:rRNA from 1 species